rnacentral:rRNA from 1 species
AUUGAACGCUAGCGGGAUGCUUUACACAUGCAAGUCUCACGGAGUGGCGGACGGGUGUGUUAUAUAUCGGCACGUCCCCAGUAGCGGGGGAUAACUACUCGACAGUGUGGCUUAUACCGCAUCCUAUUUUCGCCGCCGAUAUCGGAUUAGCUAGUGUGUGGGGUAAAGGCUCAUCAAGGCAACGAUCCGUAGCGGGUUUGAGAGGACGCCCAGCAAAACUGGGAAGGAGAAACGGCCCAGACUCCUACGUGAGGAAGCAGUGGGGAAUGUUGGACAAUGGGGGAAACCCUGAUCCAGCCAUCCCGCGUGUAUGAUGAAGGCCUUCGGGUUGUAAAGUACUUUUGGAAGAGAAGCGGUAUCUGAAGAAGAAGCACCGGCUAACUACGUGCCAGCAGCCGCGGUAAUAC